rnacentral:rRNA from 1 species
GGGUGACAGGUGGUGCAUGGUUGUCGUCAGCUCGUGUCGUGAGAUGUUGGGUUAAGUCCCGCAACGAGCGCAACCCUCGACCUUAGUUGCCAGCAUUCAGUUGGGCACUCUAAGGUGACUGCCGGCUAAAAGUCGGAGGAAGGUGGGGAUGACGUCAAAUCAUCAUGCCCCUUACGACCUGGGCUACACACGUGCUACAAUGGGCGGUACAAAGGGUCGCGAACCCGCGAGGGGGAGCCAAUCCCAAAAAGCCGCUCUCAGUUCGGAUUGCAGGCUGCAACUCGCCUGCAUGAAGCCGGAAUCGCUAGUAAUCGCGGAUCAGCAUGCCGCGGUGAAUACGUUCCCGGGCCUU